AUGGCUGCGAAAGCUCGUGCGAGGCCGCGAUACUCUUGGCGGCGAUUCUGGUUGGUGCUGUGCCAUGCCUUGAGCGAGUGCUUCCUCAUCGUAAUGCUGCUUGUGGUCGCCGUGGUGUCGUAUACCGCGACGAGGUUCGCGCGCAUCUGCAGGAUCCGGUCACCGUGCAUGCUGUGCUCAAGAUUGGACAAGGUUCUGCAUGGCAAGGCCUGGUUCUCGGAGGAGCUGGUUUGUGCAGCACACAGGGUGGAAAUCGCGCGUUUAUCCUAUUGCCAGAUUCACAGCAAGCUCGCACAUUCUGAUGAUCUAUGUGGAAAGUGCUUGGUUUCAUGUUCUGGACCAGUUGGUCAGCCAGGUAACCCAACAAACAUGAGCGUUAAGGAGAAGGCGGGGCACACACAGCGAUGUUCUUGUUGUUCAGAGCCAUUCACGAAGAGAGACAACGCGCACAAGUUAUUUGAGGAGGUGAAUGGCAGGUCUCAGAAUGAUGGCAUGAGCAAAGUGAAGGAGAGAAGCAUGGCCACGGCAAGCGUUGGGCAUUCUUCGGAUGAGGAUUUUGAUCAAUUGCCUUACGGAGGUUACAGAAAGCUACAUGACUCUCAAUCAGAGAUUCAUGUCUCAGACGAUGAUGUUGGCGGCGAUGCAAAGCCUUAUGAAGCUAAACGUCGAACCAGAGAUCUCGACGAGCGCUCGAAGGCUGUGCCUGGGCAAGUUCGUCAGGAGCUUCCGAAAGAGAAAACUUUUCUGGUUGGUAUUGAGGAGGUCGGCGAUUUAGAGGGUGUUUCACGAAGCCCUGACCAGGAAGCUAACGGGGCCCGCUCAACUACAAACCAUUAUGUCAACCGCAACAAUAGCAUGAAGAAUGCUCCUGGUGGUAGAGGCAAUCUUAGAUCUCCUCGAUGGUCUGAAGUAAUCUCCGCUAAGGAAACCAAUUCAACAACACAUGAAGAAGUGAAGACAUUCAUGUCCCAGUUGUCUUCUGCGCGAGGCCUCGAUGGUCCUUGGAGUGAGGUGGCUGCUAGCCCCAGAAUCAGCAUACAGAUUGAUGAGUACAGUCAAUCUGAUGCCACUGAUGGCAGGCAGUUCCUUGAUCUGGAACCAUCUGAUGGCCAAGUUCCAACUGAAGCUGAAGGUGAAAUCUCCCUUGAGUCCCUGAAGAAGCAAUGUGAGCUUAACAAGAAAAAACUAAGUAUCCUUUAUAAAGAGCUCGAUGCAGAACGGAGUGCUUCGUCUGUUGCAGCAAGUGAAGCGAUGGCUAUGAUCAAUAGGUUGCAAGUGGAAAAGGCUGCAAUGCACAUGGAGGCGCUGCAGUAUCUCCGGAUGAUGGAAGAGCAGGCUGAUCAUGACCAAGAAGAAAUUGGAAAGCUAAAUGACUUGCUUACAGAAAGAGAGAAAGAAAUGCUUGACCUGGAAGCUGAACUCGAAGGUUAUGAGAGCAGGUUCCGCAUCGAACCAUUUGAGCUCGGAAAAUUUGACGCUAUUGAUGGAGAUAUGGCACUCAGAGUCUUGGAUAAUUCAGAUUUUGUGAGGAAUACCAUCUUUGAUUUUGAAGAUGAGAAGGCCAAAAUUUUGGAAUCCUUGAGCAGAUUAGAGGAAACACUUGGCAUGCCUUACACAAAUAGAUUUGAUUUGGGUGGCACAAGUGAUAGCCUACAGAGUGGGUCACUGAGAGAUCAUCCAACUGAUUGGCCAGGCCAAAGUGUAGAAAACUCAGAAUUGGAAUCUCGGAGUUCACUAUUGCCUCAGGAGCACUUGAACGAUGACUCGCUGAGAGAUCAUCCAAGUGAUGGGCCUGGCCAACAUGCAGAAAACUCAGAAUUGGAACGUCGGAAUUCACUAAUGCCUCAGGAAGACUUGAACGAUGAAUCACUGAGAGAUCAUCCAAGUGAUGGGCCUGGCCAAUAUGUAGAAAACCAAGAAUCAGAAUGCCAAAGUUCACCAUUGCCUCAGGAAGACUUGAAAGAUGAAUCAGUCUCUUUACAACGAAAUGAUGAAAAUCAAUCUGCUGAGAAUCAAAAAUAUGUUGGCCCAUGUUCGCGCUCAGAUGACGAUAAAAUUAGUUCCAUGGAAAGCAUUAAACAAGAAAUUUUGCUCUUGAAUAGUAGAUUCAUGGCACUUGAAGCAGAUCAGAAGUUUCUCAAGCAGAUAUUGAGUUCUCUUAAAUGUAGUAGUGAUGCAGAACAAUAUGUGCAGGAGAUAACUAGUCAUUUGAGGGAGCUCCGAAGAAUUGCUACCGAGCAGAGAGAUAGGACAGCUCUAUGA
rnacentral:rRNA from 1 species